GAUGAACGCUGGCGGCGUGCCUAAUACAUGCAAGUCGAGCGAACGGACGAGAAGCUUGCUUCUCUGAUGUUAGCGGCGGACGGGCGAGUAACACGUGGAUAACCUACCUAUAAGGCUGGGAUAACUUCGGGAAACCGGAGCUAAUACCGGAUAAUAUUUUGAACCGCAUGGUUCAAAAGUGAAAGACGGUCUUGCUGUCACUUAUAGAUGGAUCCGCGCUGCAUUAGCUAGUUGGUAAGGUAACGGCUUACCAAGGCAACGAUGCAUAGCCGACCUGAGAGGGUGAUCGGCCACACUGGAACUGAGACACGGUCCAGACUCCUACGGGAGGCAGCAGUAGGGAAUCUUCCGCAAUGGGCGAAAGCCUGACGGAGCAACGCCGCGUGAGUGAUGAAGGUCUUCGGAUCGUAAAGCUCUGUUAUUAGGGAAGAACAUAUGUGUAAGUAACUGUGCACAUCUUGACGGUACCUAAUCAGAAAGCCACGGCUAACUACGUG
rnacentral:rRNA from 1 species